UUCAUUGCCCCAAAACUGCAGCGAAUCGGAAGUCUUUGAAGAAGUGUUCUAGUAUACGUUUUGUGAACCAAAAAACUUACUCUCAGUGUUCCGGUUUACAAGGCCAAAAAUGCUCUUCCGGAAGUCUUCGGGCGCAAAUGAAAAAAAAAAUCAAUUUCUGAAAAAUAUACCCUAUUUAUAUGAAGAUAUUUUAGUCUAAAACAUUUAAUUAUAAGGGUAUUAAUACAAUUGUAGGGGUACAAGGUAAAACUUUCUAAAGUCUCGUGGGAAGAAUCAAAUGGGCCUUAAUGACAUAAUUAAUGCAUGUGGAUAAUGAAAUCAGAUAAAAGCCAUGUUUGAAAAGCAACAACUCAGAACAACCAUGAGUCAUGCCUCUCUUCCUCUCAGUCGUCGUCUCCGCUGCGCCAGAGGCUCCCUCGACGGCGAAGAUUUCCAGAAGACUAAAACCUAACCACAAAUCUCUCUCUCUCAACACCCUCCGUCUGAAUCCACACACAUAAAUCUCCAAUCUCUAAACAAUAAUCCAAAUCGAAACGGAAACCUCAUGAACCCUAAACUAUAAAACAAAAAUUAAAUUUCCAUUGUCAUCAAUCAACCGACAAGACCUUGGGGGCUUCUACUCGACGCGUCUCAAGCCUAACAUGGUAUCAAGAAUGGAGUAAAGAGAGAGAAAAACGAGGUUGCGAUAGCCUACCUGCCGGAGUAGUUCCGAUGUCUCUUCAACAACGAAGAUAAUACACGAGCUAGAGAUCUUCUAGCUCCUCAGAAGAUGGAUAAUUGGAGAGGAUGAUGAACUCUGAGAGUUGAAGGUGAAGAAGAUUGGGGGAAAAUGGAUGAUUUUGAGAUGGAGAUUUUGGUUGAACAUUCGUUGGGAUUUUUCAGAUUGAGAGAGAAAUAAGUCAGGUUUUCAGUUUCAGUUUUGUGAGAAAAAAAAUUAUGAUCAUCGCCUUGAGAUUACGAGGUUCUGAUUUAUAUAGAGGAUGGUGACUCAAUUGAUUUAGUUCAUAAGCCAUUGAGUUGGUUAGGAGUUUGUUACGAUUUUCAGUUAGGAAGUUUUUAGUUAGUUGCAAUUUAUGCCAUUGAGAAGUUAGUUGUCAGUUUGAAGUUUGUUGUAACUGGUUUGGCAGUUAGAAGUUAGGUUGAUUAGUUGAGACUGAAAUUGUUGUUGUGAUUGGUUAACAUUUAUAUGGUGAAUUGUUUCUAAUGGUUAAUCUAUUAUAUUUUGUGGAACAAGGUGAAAAAUAGGACGUUUGUUGGUUUGUCCGAUUUGAUAGCUCUGCAGGUACAAAGGUGUUUUGCAGUAUAAUGCUUGUGCAGGACUUCAUUUGUGCAGCUAACUUAACAGGGUCUUGGUCAUUUUUCAGCAAGAUAAACUGAAGUUGGGUAAUAUGGCAAGGCAACAGUCACGACAUUGGUCAUGGAUAGGGUUUUAGUUUGGAAUGCUUUGGUUUAGAAGCAUGCCUUGAAAAUGUAAUCACUUGUCAUGGGUCUUUUCAUGGUUGGGAAAUAGACUAUAUGGAUAUGAUUUUAAUUAAUUGUUGUGGUUGUAAUUAAAAGAUGAAAAUUGUGUGUAAUUCGAGUGAUGCAUUAAGAUUGUGUUAUAUAUUGAAAUUUGGUUGUGAAAUGUCAUGAACAAAUGCCUUAUUGAAUGAAUGUAAUGAGUAUGAACAUAGAUGGAUGGAAAUGUAAAACCUAGGUAGUAUGGCUUGUUGUUUGUAAGGCUUGUGGACUUUUCUAUGGAAUCUAGCGCAUGAAGCUCACUGUUUGCAUUUACAA